ACUUCAUGGAAGUCCAAAUGCACUGAACUACAAAAAUUAAGUAAUGAAGCUGAUAGAAAAAACGGCUUUUCUUCAGUUUCUACAUUACUCUUCUACUUUUCAGAUCCCGACGAAGGUUGGAUGGCGUUGAUGUAUGAUCUGGCAUUCAAAAACAGUUCAAGUGUUUUUUUUUUGUUCUUUAAAUUGGAAUGGGUGGAGUAAGGAAGAUUUUCAUACCAAUCACAUUGCUGGCGGCAUUAUCUGGUCUUGUUCGCGCACUGUGGACGAGAUUGAUGUUGCCGCUGUGUAGUUUAGUGUCAUCAGUAAAUCUCGAUAUUUAGAUUCGGAGUAACUUGCUCUCAUAAAAAAAAAAAAUCUAGAACUGUAUCUGCAUAUGAUGCGAUUCUAUAGAACCAUUUAAUUUAUUUUUCCAGUUAAUAUCUCGAGUUUAAGAGUGAUUGUAGCUUUAUUCGUGAUUCCGAUCUUAAGAAAAAAUAUUAACCGAAAAAAAAUUUUAAUUAAUUUGAAUAAUAAAGAUUAGAAAAGAUAUGAGUUUUGGUAUCUAUUAAUUCACAAAGCUAUUGACUCAUAGCUACUUUAUCAAUUAUUCCUCUGAAAACAAUUUGAUGACCUUGAAAUUGCGCAUGACAAUGCCUCUCCAUGUUGCGACAUGCAAGCAAGAAACUUUCCUUACCCAAAUGGUUCAUAUUACUACCCAUGUCACUAUUAUGAGCCACCUGCCCUGCAUUUUCCCCAACUGCCACCGCCAAAUGCCAAUUCCGGUCAACCUGAUUUGUGCUAUGUUAUGUGAAAUGAAUUAUUAGUUGGACUAUGCAUUUGCCUGAAUUAAUUGGGUUUUUUUUUUUUUCUAUAUCUUUUGGUCUCCAAUUCAUGGUAUUUAUUUAUUUAUUUAUUGUGGCUACUGUAAUUUGCUGACAUUUAUUGGUAUUUUCCGUUUUAAUUGUUGUUUUUGAACGAUAUGUCGUUCACUCAGCUGGGUUGCUUGCUUGUUUGUUUCAUUGUUUAUUUCUUAUCAUGGAUUUAGAAGGUCUAAUAUUGAAUAGAUCAUUAUAACAUAAA